rnacentral:rRNA from 1 species
AGAUUAAACUGAAGAGUUUGAUCCUGGCUCAGAUUGAACGCUGGCGGCAUGCCUUACACAUGCAAGUCGAACGGCAGCGCGGGGCAACCUGGCGGCGAGUGGCGAACGGGUGAGUAAUAUAUCGGAACGUACCCUGGAGUGGGGGAUAACGUAGCGAAAGUUACGCUAAUACCGCAUACGAUCUAAGGAUGAAAGUGGGGGAUCGCAAGACCUCAUGCUCCUGGAGCGGCCGAUAUCUGAUUAGCUAGUUGGUGGGGUAAAGGCCUACCAAGGCAUCGAUCAGUAGCUGGUCUGAGAGGACGACCAGCCACACUGGAACUGAGACACGGUCCAGACUCCUACGGGAGGCAGCAGUGGGGAAUUUUGGACAAUGGGCGAAAGCCUGAUCCAGCAAUGCCGCGUGAGUGAAGAAGGCCUUCGGGUUGUAAAGCUCUUUUGUCAGGGAAGAAACGGUGCUUUCUAAUACAGAGCGCUAAUGACGGUACCUGAAGAAUAAGCACCGGCUAACUACGUGCCAGCAGCCGCGGUAAUACGUAGGGUGCAAGCGUUAAUCGGAAUUACUGGGCGUAAAGCGUGCGCAGGCGGUUUUGUAAGUCUGUCGUGAAAUCCCCGGGCUCAACCUGGGAAUGGCGAUGGAGACUGCAAGGCUAGAGUUUGGCAGAGGGGGGUAGAAUUCCACGUGUAGCAGUGAAAUGCGUAGAUAUGUGGAGGAACACCGAUGGCGAAGGCAGCCCCCUGGGUCAAGACUGACGCUCAUGCACGAAAGCGUGGGGAGCAAACAGGAUUAGAUACCCUGGUAGUCCACGCCCUAAACGAUGUCUACUAGUUGUCGGGUCUUAAUUGACUUGGUAACGCAGCUAACGCGUGAAGUAGACCGCCUGGGGAGUACGGUCGCAAGAUUAAAACUCAAAGGAAUUGACGGGGACCCGCACAAGCGGUGGAUGAUGUGGAUUAAUUCGAUGCAACGCGAAAAACCUUACCUACCCUUGACAUGGCUGGAA